rnacentral:rRNA from 1 species
GAUGAACGCUGGCGGCGUGCCUAAUACAUGCAAGUCGAGCGAACGGACGAGAAGCUUGCUUCUCUGAUGUUAGCGGCGGACGGGUGAGUGACACGUGGAUAACCUACCUAUAAGACUGGGAUAACUUCGGGAAACCGUAGCUAAUACCGGAUAAUAUUUUGAACCGCAUGGUUCAAAAGUGAAAGACGGUCUUGCUGUCACUUAUAGAUGGAUCCGCGCUGCAUUAGCUAGUUGGUAAGGUAACGGCUCACCAAGGCAACGAUGCAUAGCCGACCUGAGAGGGUGAUCGGCCACACUGGAACUGAGACACGGCCCAGACUCCUACGGGAGGCAGCAGUAGGGAAUCUUCCGCAAUGGGCGAAAGCCUGACGGAGCAACGCCGCGUGAGUGAUGAAGGUCUUCGGAUCGUAAAACUCUGUUAUUAGGGAAGAACAUAUGUGUAAGUAACUGUGCACAUCUUGACGGUACCUAAUCAGAAAGCCACGGCUAACUACGUG